rnacentral:rRNA from 1 species
GGCUCAGAUUGAACGCUGGCGGCAUGCCUUACACAUGCAAGUCGAACGGCAGCACGGACUUCGGGUCUGGUGGCGAGUGGCGAACGGGUGAGUAAUGUAUCGGAACGUACCUUUCAGUGGGGGAUAACGUAGCGAAAGUUACGCUAAUACCGCAUAUUCUGUGAGCAGGAAAGCAGGGGAUCGCAAGACCUUGCGCUGAUUGAGCGGCCGAUAUCAGAUUAGCUAGUUGGUGAGGUAAAGGCUCACCAAGGCGACGAUCUGUAGCGGGUCUGAGAGGAUGAUCCGCCACACUGGAACUGAGACACGGUCCAGACUCCUACGGGAGGCAGCAGUGGGGAAUUUUGGACAAUGGGGGCAACCCUGAUCCAGCCAUGCCGCGUGAGUGAAGAAGGCCUUCGGGUUGUAAAGCUCUUUCGGCCGGGAAGAAAUCGCAUGGGCUAAUACCCUGUGCGGAUGACGGUACCGGCAUAAGAAGCACCGGCUAACUACGUG